rnacentral:rRNA from 1 species
UUGAAUUGAAGAGUUUGAUCAUGGCUCAGAUUGAACGCUGGCGGCAGGCUUAACACAUGCAAGUCGAACGGUAACAUAAAGAAGCUUGCUUCUUUGAUGACGAGUGGCGGACGGGUGAGUAAUGCUUGGGAAUCUGGCUUAUGGCGGGGGAUAACUACGGGAAACUGUAGCUAAUACCGCGUAAUAUCGAAAGAUUAAAGUGUGGGACCUUCGGGCCACAUGCCAUAAGAUGAGCCCAAGUGGGAUUAGGUAGUUGGUGGGGUAAAGGCUCACCAAGCCUGCGAUCUCUAGCUGGUCUGAGAGGAUGGCCAGCCACACUGG